rnacentral:rRNA from 1 species
UGGGGAAUAUUGCGCAAUGGGGGAAACCCUGACGCAGCGACGCCGCGUGUGGGAAGAAGGCCUUCGGGUCGUAAACCACUGUCAGGAGGGAAGAAACGCAUGGGUUCGAAUAGGGCAUGUGCCUGACGGUACCUCCGGAGGAAGCACCGGCUAACUCCGUGCCAGCAGCCGCGGUAAUACGGAGGGUGCAAGCGUUACUCGGAAUCACUGGGCGUAAAGCGCACGUAGGCGGUUUUGCAAGUCAGGCGUGAAAUGCCGCGGCUCAACCGAGGAAUUGCGUUUGAAACUG